rnacentral:rRNA from 1 species
AGAGUUUGAUCCUGGCUCAGAACGAACGCUGGCGGCAGGCCUAACACAUGCAAGUCGAACGAUGCCUUCGGGCAUAGUGGCGCACGGGUGAGUAACACGUGGGAACAUACCUUUUGGUGGGGGAUAACUUCGGGAAACUGAAGCUAAUACCGCAUACGCCCCUUGGGGGAAAGAUUUAUCGCCGAAAGAUUGGCCCGCGUCCGAUUAGCUAGUUGGUGAGGUAAUGGCUCACCAAGGCUCCGAUCGGUAGCUGGUCUGAGAGGAUGACCAGCCACACUGGGACUGAGACACGGCCCAGACUCCUACGGGAGGCAGCGGUGGGGAAUAUUGGACAAUGGGCGCAAGCCUGAUCCAGCCAUGCCGCGUGAGUGAUGAAGGCCUUAGGGUUGUAAAGCUCUUCACCCACGACGAUGAUGACGGUAGUGGAGAAGAG